rnacentral:lncRNA from 1 species
GUCUGCCCAAGAAACUUAAUUCUUUUCCAGUUUUUUAUCCCUCAUUUGGUUUUUAUUACAUUUUUCUUGCCUGCUAUCUAGUACUAAUGAGAACUGUUUCCUUCCUGACUUAUUCCCUUCCAGCAAAGGCCUUGUUAAUUGUUGUCUUCUGUUAGCUAAAGUGACUCUCUGGGUCCUGGGUAUUGCACAGUCUAUGCUGGUUCACCUCAACCCUCUUCAUUUGCAUUCUCAGUCCUCAAGGUCUCAGCAGAGACUCUCUGUGUGCCACCAAGCAGUAUGUUUUCAGCCACUUGCACACCCAUCUAUACCAUGUCGCUUAUUUUCCCCCUUCUCAAAUGCCACAAAACCACCCUUUUACCAUUUCCCAUUCACUCGGUGCGUCGACAACUGACUCAGUCCUUUGGUAUAUAUUGGCUGUUACUGAACGGCUGUCACCACUCGCAAAGCAUCGGGUCACGGAUCAGAGCUUCAGGGUCUGGUGUUUGCACAGGGUAAGAGCAGCUGCAGGGAUGAGCAUGGGGCCCUUGCCAUGCCUGAGCUGACAGCCUGAGGUAGUGAGGUACACUGGAUGAAUUACUGGUGUCAGUUGUGGUGAUGCCUGGGCAUGAACUAGGUUCCUACAAAAAUGUGCUCAGAGUGGUGUUGGAAAGCUUGCCUGUGACCGUCCUCGAGCUCAGCAGAGCACAGACCUGAGGAUGCCAUUUGUGCAGUGUGUCUUUCUUCACCCCACACUGCCUGUCCGAACUGGGAGGUGCUUUUUAAGACCAAGACAUAUUCUACUAUGGCUGGGCUGUUUUGUUGCCUCAGGUAGCACCGAGCAGCAUCAGGUUGGAAGAGGCAUGGCUGCCCUGGACAGCCUGGGCAGGGAGGCAGAGAAGGAACCAUCUCUUCAGGGACCUGGCAGGCUCCAAUGUGCUCGACUGAGUCACCUCACCUUCACUGAACCUCACUUACUGGCACAGGCAAUCCACUUCCUGCAUCUGAAAGAUAAUUUUAUACUUUAAGCUGGAGCUCAAAACUCUCAAGGCCAACUUGUGUUGACUUGAACAUCCCAAGAUACCAGUGUCUCUGCUGUUAUUUCAAGUAGGCAGCAGCUGCCCCUGCUUGCUCUUAUCAUCAUCAAUGGAAAAAGGACACCUCCUCUUACAAAUCCCACUGCAAACUGAGACCACGAAGCCACAGGUGGCAGCAAGCAUGCCUUUCAGCACAGACGCAUAUUGACCCAACUGGCAGGCCGCCGGCCCUGGCUGCCCAGGACAUCUUCUCCUGAGGCCUCGGACAGCUUCCUCCUGGCUGCUGCCAUGCAGGGAGCAUGGAUGGUGGCCAAAACACUGAAUCCCUUCAUUCCAUCAGCUCCAUUUUCUGCACUGCAGGAGGUUUGAGGCUGUCAGUGAGCAGAGAUGUGGAACUGAAGCACCGAGGCCCAGCCUCAUGUUCCCUUCCGAGCCCUACCAAAAUGAGUGGCACGCACCCGCUGAAAAUCUGCCCUCGCUGCGGUUCUUAGUCACUCACUUUCUCCUUUUUUCACCUUCUCUCAGAAACUGAGACAGACUGAAGUUGCCCACACAUUAUGGGAAAAACAUUAGGUUUUACAAGCCAAGAAAGGAGAGUCAGGGGGAACAGGUGCAAGGUGGAGGAGGAAGAGAUAAAUACGUUACUCUGAGCCUGUUUUUUCUUCUUCUUUUUUUUUAUCUACAAUACCAUGAUUUAGCACAUGAUGCUUAGUAUAUCAGCAUUACUUUUGCCUCUUCAUUAUUUUGUGGUCAGUGCCCAUGCUAGUGAUGGCCACAACAUCCAAACAGACCUAUGAUGAAAUAAAAAUUAAAAGGAGAGAAAAGCGAUGAGAGAA